AGCGAACGCUGGCGGCAGGCUUAACACAUGCAAGUCGAGCGGGCACUUCGGUGUCAGCGGCAGACGGGUGAGUAACACGUGGGAACGUACCCUUUGGUUCGGAAUAACGCUGGGAAACUAGCGCUAAUACCGGAUACGCCCUUUUGGGGAAAGGCUUGCUGCCGAAGGAUCGGCCCGCGUCUGAUUAGCUAGUUGGUGGGGUAAUGGCCUACCAAGGCGACGAUCAGUAGCUGGCUGAGAGGAUGAUCAGCCACACUGGGACUGAGACACGGCCCAGACUCCUACGGGAGGCAGCAGUGGGGAAUAUUGGACGAUGGGCGCAAGCCUGAUCCCAGCCAAUGCCGCGUGAGUGAUGAA
rnacentral:rRNA from 1 species